GGCAUGGUUGUCGUCAGCUCGUGUCGUGAGAUGUGGUUAAGUCCGCAACGAGCGCAACCCCUAUUGUUAGUUGCCAUCAUUCAGUUGGGCACUCUAGCGAGACUGCCGGUAAUAAACCGGAGGAAGGUGGGGAUGACGUCAAAUCAUCAUGCCCCUUAUGACCUGGGCUACACACGUGCUACAAUGGUUGGUACAACGAGUUGCGAGUCGGUGACGGCGAGCUAAUCUCUUAAAGCCAAUCUCAGUUCGGAUUGUAGGCUGCAACUCGCCUACAUGAAGUCGGAAUCGCUAGUAAUCGCGGAUCAGCACGCCGCGGUGAAUACGUUCCCGGGCCUU
rnacentral:rRNA from 1 species